GAUGAACGCUGGCGGCGUGCCUAAUACAUGCAAGUCGAGCGAACAGAUGAGGAGCUUGCUCCUCUGACGUUAGCGGCGGACGGGUGAGUAACACGUGGAUAACCUACCUAUAAGACUGGGAUAACUUCGGGAAACCGGAGCUAAUACCGGAUAAUAUAUUGAACCGCAUGGUUCAAUAGUGAAAGACGGUUUUGCUGUCACUUAUAGAUGGAUCCGCGCCGCACUAGCUAGUUGGUAAGGUAACGGCUUACCAAGGCAACGAUGCGUAGCCGACCUGAGAGGGGGGAUCGCCAACCCUGGAAGGGAGACACGGCCAAGCCUCCUACGGGAGGCAGAAGAGGGGAAUCGCCGCAAAGGGGCGAAAGCCGGAGGGAGCACCGCCGCGGGAGUGAUGAAGGUCUUCGAAUCGUAAAACUGUGUUAUUAGGGAAAAAAAAAUGUGAAAUUACAUAUGCACGUCUUGACGGUCCCUAAUAAGAAAGCCACGGCUAACUCCGUG
rnacentral:rRNA from 1 species